GACCCCCAUCUGCUUGUCCUUAAGGACACGGUUCAACACGGUGAUGCUAAGAAGGUCACUAUUGGGGAUGAUGGUGCAUUGAGGAUGCAGGGCAGGCUAUGUGUGCCCAAUGUGAAUGGGUUGCGUGAGUUGAUUCUCCAUGAGGCUCACAGCUCGCAGUACUCCAUUCAUCCAUGUGCCGCGAAGAUGUAUCAGGACUUGAGGCAACAUUACUGGUGGGAAAAAAUGAAGAAGGACAUAGUGGAAUAUGUAGCUCGGUGUCUGAAUUGCCAACAGGUAAAGUAUGAGCAUCAUUGGCCAGGUGGAUUGCUUCAAAGUUAGAGAUUCUGGAGUGAAAAUGGGAGCGGAUCACUAUGGAUUUCGUUGUUGGACUCCCAUGGACUCAGCGGAGGAUUGAUGUAGUUUGGGUGAUUGUGGAUAGGCUGACCAAGUCAGCUCAUUUCCUCCCUGUGAUGACUACCUAUUCUUCCGAGUAGUUGGCUCGAAUUUAUAUCCGCGAGAUUGUCAGGCUUCAUGGAAUACCAGUAUCUAUCAUCUCUGACCGGGGUACGCAACUUACAUCACGAUUUUGGAGGGCCGUACAACAUGAGUUGGGUACUCGAGUGGAGUUGAGCACAACAUUUCACCCUCAGACGGACGGGAAGUCCGAGCACACUAUUCAGAUAUUAGAGGAUAUGCUCCGUGCGUGCGUGAUAGAUUUUGGAGGUUCUUGGGAUCAGUUCUUGCCACUUGCGGAGUUUGCCUACAACAACAAUUAUCAGUCGAGCAUCCAGACGGCACCGUAUGAGGCUCUAUAUGGCAGGAGAUGUCGGUCUCCAGUGGGUUGGUUCGAGCCAGACGAGGCUAGAUUAUUGGGCACAGACUUGGUUCAGGAUGCUUUGGAAAAGGUUAAGGUGAUUCAGGAUUGACUUCACACAGCCCAGUCCAGACAGAAGAGUUAUGCGGAUAUGAAGGUUCGCGAUGUUGCAUUCAUGGUUGGGGAGCGGGUCUUGCUCCGGGUUUCGCCAAUGAAGGGCAUUAUGAGGUUCAGGAAGAAGGGCAAGUUGAGCGCAAGGUUCAUUGGUCCCUUUGAGGUGUUGCGGCGUGUUGGGUAGGUUGCUUAUGAGCUUGCCUUACCUCCCAGUCUAGCAGGAGUUCAUCCGGUAUUCCAUGUUUCUAGGCUCCGAAAGUAUCACGGUGAUCCGUCUCAUGUGCUGGAUUUCAGCUUAGUCCAGUUGGACAAGGAUCUAUCUUAUGUUGAGGAGCCAGUGGCUAUUUUGGACAGGCAUGUUCGAAAGCCGAGGUCAAAGAACGUUACUUUUGUGAAGGUUCAGUGAAGGGGCCAGCCGGUCGAAGAGGCGACUUGGGAGACUGAGCAGGAUAUGCGCAGCCGUUAUCCUCAUCUUUUCACCACUUUAGGUAUAUCUCUAUGCUCACUCGAGGAUGAACGGUUAUUUUAAGAAGGGGAGGAUGUAAUGACCCGACCGAUCGUUUAGAGAGUAAUAGCCCCGAUCCCCUAUUUACUGCUUUCCCCGUAUCUCUUUAUUCUUAUGUGACUUGCUGGGAGGUUUUGGUUGUGUUUUUGGAGUGUUUUGGAACACUUAGUCCUUAAAGUUGUAACUAAAGUUCUAAGAUUUUGACCAUAGUUGGAACUGUGUGAAGACGACUCCAGAAUGGAGUUUCGUCCAUUUUGUUAGCUCCGUUGGGUAAUUUUGGACUUAGGAACAUGUCCGGAUUGUGUUUUGGAGGUCUGUAGUUAAAUUAAGCUUGAAAUGAUGAAAGUUGAAAAUUUGGGAAGUUUGACCAUGUGAACUUUUGGACUUUUUGAUAUCGGGGUCGGAUUCCGAUUUCGGAAGUUGGAGUAGGUCCGUAAUGUCGAUUAUGACUUGUGUGUAAAAUUCGAGAUUUUGGUUGUGUUUUCGGAAAAUUUGGGAAGUUUGACCAUUUGGACUUAUGCAAAUUGCUGAAGUUUUCUGGUUUAUGGUGUUUUCGCACCUGCUGCGGGGAAACCGCAGGUGCGGACUCGCACGUGCGGAAGAUGGAGUACAGAAGUAGACGGGGCUUGGAGUGUGAUGAUUCACAGAAGCAGAAGAUAUCCCCAGAAGCGGGCGCGCAGGCGCGACCCCUUGCUCACAGAUGCGGACCCCGCCCCUUAAGUCAUUUCCGCACCUGCGAGGGAAUUUCUGUGGGUGUGACUGGUGGUUCGCAAAUGCGGAAUCGCUGGGCAGAAAAGAUUAAUUUCGAGGGUUUGAUCUCAUUUUUAUUUUGGGUCUUUGAGAGCUCAGAUUGAGGCGAUAAUUCAAGGAUUUUUCAGAGAGAACUUUGGGGUAAUGAUUCUUAACUUGUUUAUGGUUAUAUUCCACUAAUCUAUAGUUCAUCUCAUCAUUUGAUUAAGGAAUAUAGUUGAGAAUUUUGGGGAAAAGUUGGAAGGUUCUUCAAAUAAAUCUUUGAGUUUUGCUUCGGAUUUUGAUAUCGGAUUUGGAUAAUUUUGGUACGAGUGAACUCGUGAGUGAAUGGGUGUUCAUAUUUUGUGACUAUUACCCGUUUCCGAGACAUGGGCACGAGGAGGCUUUUUGGGGCGAUUUUCUAAUUUCUUGCUUUAGCUUUGAUUUCAUUAAUUAGAUUAAUUUCUUAUAGUUGUAUUUAUGGUAUGUAAUUAAUUUUGGCUAGAUUUGGGCCAUUCAGAGUCGGAUAUUCAUGAAAAAGGCAUUGUUACCGAUUGAUUGAGCUUAGUUCGAGGUAAUGGCUUGCCUAACCUUGUGUGAGAAAAUUCCCUUAGGAUUUGGUACAAUUGUGAUAUGUGAGCGUUGUGUAUGUGAGGUAACGAGUACGUACACGGGCUAUUUAUUGUAAAACCCGAUUUAUUCUACUGAGUAGCAACAUGUUUUUUCUUUAAUUUGAGUUAUACCGUUUAAAUGAGUAUUAGUCUAUUUUCAUUCUUAAUUGAGUUAUUCCAAUAUGUGUAGUUAUCUUGUUUAGUUUAAUAUCGCAUGUCUACGUGCUUUAACUGCUUAUUUGAACUCUGUGAAGCAUGCCUAGUUGAUUUUCCGCCUUUCCUUGUUCUUUAUCAGUAUAACCGUAGAAAUCUUGCUAUUAACAGUUGUAUUUAUCGGUUUGAGUUGUAUGUUUACUUUUGAGACUACGAGGCGGUUCCUCGAGAGUUUUCCCUGCACAUUUACUUUUAAGACUACGAGGCAGUUCCUCGGGAGUUCUCCCUGCACAUUUACUUUUUAGACUGCGAGGCGGUUCCUCAAGAGUUCUUCCAACAUAUUUACUUUUGAGACUACGAGGCAGUACCUCGGGAGUUCUCCCUGUAUAUUUACUUUUGAGACUACGAGGUGGUACUUCGGCAGUGCUCCCUGUAUAUUUAUUUUGGGACUACGAGACAGUAUAUUGGGAGAUCCCCUGUGAUUUACGAUUGUGUGUUGUACUGUUACCUUGAUGUGUUUCCUUUUGUUAAAUUCUAGUCUCUUAUUAUACUAUAUAUUCUCUUGCCUUAUUUAUUAUUUACCAGUGGGCUUGACCUGACCUCGUCACUACUCGACCGAGGUUGGGUUUAGAACUUAGUGGGUACCGUUGUGGUGUACUCAUGCUACUCUUCUGCAACAUAUUUUAUGUGCAGAUCCAGGUACUUCUUAUCAGCCCCGCUACUAAUUGAGAGUGCUUGCUAUUGUACGGAGACUUCAAGGUACAUCUGUCGCGUCCGCAAACCUCAGAGUCCCCAUCUAUUCUCUCCUUUGUCAUUUACCUUCCGUAUUUCUUUUAUUAGACUCUGGUGUAUAGAGAUUCUAGUUUCCUUCUGUAGCUUGUGACUUACGAAUUUCCGAAUUUUGGGAAGACUGUGUAUUUAUAGAAUAUUGGUUAUUGUACAUGCCGAGCGGUAUUGUUACUAGUUACUCAGUUAUCCACUGCUGUUAGUUGCCAAGUUUUACUUUUGUUUUGUUAUUUUCCGCAAUUUGUUAGACUUACCUAGUCGUAAAGACUAGGUGCCGUCACGACAUUAUACAGAGGGAGUUUGGGUCGUGACGUUCCACAAAUAGAAUUUAAAAAGGAUGGAGUGUACGCAGAACUUGCUCCCAUCUUAUGUGAGGUAAAGAGAUUGUUUCUGAACUUGCUCCCAACUUGCUCCCAUAUUAUAUUAAAGAACUUAAAUUACUGUGUAUUGAGAUGAAAGAGGUAGGGGUGGUUAUCGGGCGUAUUGGGCGGAUAAUUAUGCUUAAUGGUUUGGUUUAUCGGUUAUCGGUUAUCGAAUUAUAAAUGUAGUAAUUCGCUAGCCAUCCAAUAAGAUAACAUGCGGAUUAUAUCAGAUUAACGAUUAUCGGACGGUUUAUCGGCUAAAUCAAAUAGAAAUUAUUUGAACAAUCAAUAUCAAACGGCCAAAUGCAUAAUUCAAACUGUCUUUGUUAGUUUUUGAACAAUCAAUACCAUCAGCAUGGUUAUCCACAAGGGUAAUACUAUGGCUCAUAGAAGAAUUCAAUUAAUGUCCACUCAUAAUUCAUGAGAAGCCAGAAACAAUGCCAUUGGCUACAGACAAUUCUAUCAUUCUAUGUACAACUACUUAUGCAAUAAUGUAGUAACAAGUUUAUAUACAUAGGGGUAAAUGUGUAAAUAUAAAAAAUUUAACGGGUUAACGGUUCACCCGACAAGAAAAUUAAGUAAUUCGCCCCCAAUCCAAUACCAAUAAAUCAAUAAGCUAUUGGUUCGAUUUGAUUUGGUUAACAGUUUCGAUUAGAUUUUGAACAACACACCCUAGAAAGAGGUAUAAAUAAAGCUAAGAAGAUAAUAGGAGUAGUAAAUAUUCAUAAAGUCAAAUCUAACUUACCAGCAAAUUUUUUAAAAAAUUAGAAUUUUAAAUCAACAAGGAAAUAGUAUCAAGGCUUGAACUCCUAUGUGCAGAGUACUUUUGGGAUCAACAAUGUGUCCACUAGACAAAUUCCAAGAGUAAAUUGGAUUAAAGUUGAGAAUACUGCUGAUGUGCAAAUUAGGCUGUGGACAUUUCUUCGAAUAAAAAAUAUAAUAAUAAUAAUAAAAGAAAAGUAAAAAAUAAAAAAACAAAGCAGCUGGAAAACUAUAAGAGACAUUCUUCUCCGGCAAAGCAUCUUCCCUCCCCAUCCACUUUUUUCAUUUUCUCUCUCCUCACUCUCCCACCCCCACACACAUGGAACCCCCACUACUAUCCGGCGGCCCACCGAUUUCUACCACCGUUACAACGGCGUCGGUGGUUGGACCUAUGACACAGCCACCACCACCGACGUCAUCGUUACAUCUAAACAACUACGCCAACUCACUAGAUUCCGCCUCCCCAAAGUCACGCAACUCCAACUCCUGGGACGAUCAGCAACCGGCUAACGCCGGUGGCGGCGGAAAGCUCCGCCUCAUGUGCAGCUACGGCGGACACAUAAUCCCUCGCCCACACGAUAAAUCCCUUUGCUACAUCGGCGGCGACACCCGGAUCUUCGUCGCCGACCGCCGUACUUCUCUCUCCGACCUUUCCUCCCGCCUUUCCAAAACCCUCCUUUCCGGCCGUCCGUUUUGGCUUAAAUACCAGCUCCCUAACGAANNNN
rnacentral:lncRNA from 1 species